rnacentral:rRNA from 1 species
UACGGGGGGGGCAAGCGUUGUUCGGAAUUACUGGGCGUAAAGGGCUCGUAGGUGGCCAACUAAGUCAGACGUGAAAUCCCUCGGCUUAACUGAGGACGUGCGGAAGAAACUGCAAGGCUCGAGUCCGGGAGAGGGGGGUGGAAUUCCCAGUGUAGCGGUGAAAUGCGUAGAUAUUGGGAGGAACACCGGUGGCGAAGGCGGCCCCCUGGACCGGAACUGACGCUGAGGCGCGAAAGCGUGGGUAGCAAACGGG